UAGCUCAGUUGGUAGAGUGUUUGCUUUGCAUGCACAAGUCCCUGGGUUCGAUCCCUAG
rnacentral:tRNA from 1 species